rnacentral:rRNA from 1 species
AACGAACGCUGGCGGCAGGCUUAACACAUGCAAGUCGAACGCCCCGCAAGGGGAGUGGCAGACGGGUGAGUAACGCGUGGGCAUCUACCCAUCUCUGCGGAAUAGCUCUGGGAAACUGGAAUUAAUACCGCAUACGCCCCACGGGGGCAAGAUUUAUCGGGGAUGGAUGAGCCCGCGUUGGUACAGCAAGUUGGUGGGGUAAAGGCCUACCAAGGCGACGAUCCAUAGCUGGUCUGAGAGGAGGAACAGCCACAUUGGGCCUGAGACACGGCCCAAACUCCUACGGGAGGCAGCAGGGGGGAAUAUUGGACAAUGGGCGCAAGCCUGAUCCAGCCAUGCCGCGUGAGUGAUGAAGGCCUUGGGGUUGUAAAGCUCUUUCACCGAUGAAGAUAAUGACGGUAGUCGGAGAAGAAGCCCCGGCUAACUUCGUGCCAGCCGCCGCAGUAA